GGGCGCAAGCCUGAUGCAGCCAUGCCGCGUGUAUGAAGAAGGCCUUCGGGUUGUAAAGUACUUUCAGCAGUGAGGAAGGCGGAUGCGUUAAUAGCGUAUUCGUUUGACGUUAGCUGCAGAAGAAGCACCGGCUAACUCCGUGCCAGCAGCCGCGGUAAUACGGAGGGUGCGAGCGUUAAUCGGAAUUACUGGGCGUAAAGCGCAUGCAGGUGGUGUGUUAAGUCAGAUGUGAAAGCCCGGGGCUCAACCUCGGAAUAGCAUUUGAAACUGGCACACUAGAGUACUGUAGAGGGGGGUAGAAUUUCAGGUGUAGCGGUGAAAUGCGUAGAGAUCUGAAGGAAUACCAGUGGCGAAGGCGGCCCCCUGGACAGAUACUGACACUCAGAUGCGAAAGCGUGGGGAGCAAACAGGAUUAGAUACCCUGGUAGUCCACGCCGUAAACGAUGUCUACUUGGAGGUUGUGGCCUUGAGCCGUGGCUUUCGGAGCUAACGCGUUAAGUAGACCGCCUGG
rnacentral:rRNA from 1 species